UAUAUAUAUAAUUGCACAUUUUCAUUGCAUUAAAACUCAAAAUGGCAAAUUACAUUUAAUAAGGCCUUGCUCAGUGCAUAACCCUUAUUUAAUGCACAAGUCCCACAAAAUAAGCCCAAUUCUUGACAGCCCAUAAUAUUGUCGUCCACCAGAAUCGAGCAAGAGUUGACCCACCAGCGCCAAAUCAGGAGAUACCAUCCUCCAAAGACUAGCAACCAUAGCUAAACUAGCCAAAGUUAGGAAGAACAUACUCCACAACCAAAGCUAAGAUGGAUAAACUCUUCAAGAUAAACUCACAAGGCUCACCACUGUCUCCCUAGGAGAAAGAAAGGCAAGGCCAUGACAUCGUAGUUUCCUAUAGCCAUGGGACGCCGGCUACCUCACGUAAAUGCUGGAUCUAUAGAUCACCAACCUUUCGACAACUUCUCCAAAAGCAACAAGUCAAACACCGGAUAGGGGAAAUGAAAUCGAGGACGUAGGAACCAAACAACAAAUCAAACCAUCUCUUUCUCAUAGCAGAUCCUCUUUCAAACCAUCUUCACUAGUUGGAACCCAAAUAUGCAAAU
rnacentral:misc_RNA from 1 species